UGAAAUGAUAUUACAAUUUAGGAAGGAAUUGGAGUAGCCUAAAGAGCAAAUUAGGAAGAAUUGCUCUUGAACAACUUACCAGAACUCAAUUGAGUUGUUAUCGAAAGAGAAAAGAGAGAAACUUGUUUAUUGCUCUUGAGUCAAUGUUCUGAUGAUUACAACCCUUCAAUACUAUGACUAUUUAAUGAGGAAAAAAGAUGAAAAGAGUGAAACAGGGGUUCCAAAAGUUAGUUAUAACUAACUCUAGUAGUAAACGACCAUAACAGACCCUAACAGUCUUAACAGCUAGUGGGACCACGUGCAGCUCACGUGACUGACUGAUUUUAACAAGUAACUACAAACAUAAAUCUAAAAAUGGAAAUAAUACUCAAUUAUGAAAAAUCAUUACAAAUGGAUCAUAUCAAAUAUUCCCUCUUCAAAUCAUCCUUGUCCUCAAGGAUCCAGGUGGGGAUACUCGGCUCCGACAAAGUCCAAAUCCUCUCAGGUGCUAUCCUCAUCAGCUACAUUCAUCCAUUUGAUGAGAAUCUGUUCAAUGGCUUGACCAUUUGUGGGGGAUAAACGUCUAUUAAUAAUAGCCUCAGGAACUCGCAAAAUAGGACCCGAGUUAGUUUGCACCACAAGCAAUGUAACAGACGCAAUGUUGGAACCUAACUUCUUCUUCAACUGGAAAAUAUGAAAAACGGGGUGGAUUUUUGAGGUUGCACAGAGAUCUAGUGUGUAAUAAACCUUUUCAACUCUAGCCAUAAUUUGAAAAGGACCAAAGUAUUUGGCUGAGAGUUUUUAAAAACCAUGAUCUCUGAGAGAGUUCGAAGUCUACAAUGUUGUAAAACACUGUGAAUUCUGUAAAAAAUGAAAGGGUGAGACUGUGGCUUGUCCUGUCUUGAUGCAACCCCUUCCUAUUCAUAUCUGGGUAUGGCAAGAUAUCUCAAUGGAUUUUAUAGAGGGCCUAUCAAGAGUUAGGAUGUCAUCUUUGUGGUUGUGGAAAGGCUGAGCAAAGCCGAACACUUUAUGUCUCUUAAGCACCCUUAUACAACAUUAGAGGUAGCUCAAUUGUUUAUGGAUGGAGAUUUUAAACUCCAUGGCAUGCCCAGAUCAAUUAUUUCUGAUAAGGAUACAGUAUUUACAAGCAAGUUUUGGCGGGAACACUUUAAACUACAAAAGGUAUCUCCUUUGACUUCCACAACUUACUACCCCCAAACAGAUGGGCAAACUGAAGUUGUCAAUAGAUGUUUGGAAUGCUACCUCCAGUGCAUGAUCUUUGAACGACCCUAAGCUUGGCCUCAUUGGCUUCCACUAGAAGAAUGGUGGUAUAAUACCUCUUUCCACUCAGCACUAAAGCUAACACCUUAUGAGGGGAUUAUGGACAAAAACCUCUCCUCUAUUGCCUUGCAUGGAUUUUGACUCUCACAUUGAUGCAGUUGAUUGAAGUUUGCAGUCUAGGGAAGCUACCAUGCGAGUCCUCAAAGCAAAUUUGCCUAAAGCUCAAGCUAGGAUGAAGACUAUUGUUAAUGGUAAAAGGACUGACAGGAACUACUCCAUUGGGGAUUGGGUGUUGAAACAUGAAUCCAACAAGCACACAUUUAGUAAUCAUAUAGCCGAAAUGUAUUUAAGAAAAAAGGUUCACUUUUUACUCAUUAUCAAAUAAAUUUCACCAAGAUACUGCCUCUCAUUUUCAUAAAACAUAUAUCAAAAUUCUCAAUUGAUUAAAAAUUGAAGAUAAGAGUCAAAUAGGGACACUAAAACAACCCUCCAACUCAAAUUAUUUUAAACAUAACGUCAAACUCUAUCCAAUUAUAAAGACGCAAUCAACAUUUAAGCGGAAAUAUGGUAACAAAACAUCUUUAAAUACUAUAAAUACUAUAUAGACAUGACUAAGCCAUAGGGAAAAGAAAUAAAAAUAAAAGCAACAACUUGAGUUCUAUCAUCUUCUUAACUAGUAAAGAUACAAACAUUGAAUCCAUCAACACACUUAAACACCAAUGAGAUAAACAUUUUAAAACUGUCAAGCUUUACACAACAAUGACAAAUACUCAACAGUUGUCUUACACAAAUCUUUCAAGAGUGUGAACACCUUGCAUAUAUAAGAUAAAGCUGUUGAUUCACAAUGACAACAAGCAUCCGCAUAAACUUAGUAAAGCUUGAAUCUUAUCAACAAAAUGCACCAAUAAUUGAAUUAGAACACAAUCUUCAUUCUUAGAAAUUUCAAGUAAUGUUGAGCAAUAUCCAUCCCGCGAGCAUAAAAGCAAAAAUAAUAAGAAUUCAAGAUUCCCAUACCAAUUGUGAAAAAAGAAACAGAAAACAACACUACAAACUAAAUGCUACCACAAUGACAAAAUCCAUGAAUCAAUUCAAUCAUUAUAAGAUGACAAAGAAAACACAUAAUUUCAUCAUAUGAAACCUAUUUCCUUCCAAGCCUUCUACAAUAAAUAAUCCCACCAUCAAUAUGCUUACGAACGAAAAUUACUAACACGAAGAAUGAUAAGAAUAAAUAAUAAAGAAAUUAAAAGAGAAAGAUGGGUUUACCUUUUUCCGAACAGCGAAUGGGAUGACAAGCCUUAAUCAAAUGGACUUUCACCAUCGAAGUUCCGAUUAGCCUUGCCAGAGUUCAACAAUUUUGCUAGAAUCUGGUUUUUGGAGUGAGUUCGUAGAGAAUUUCUGGUUGUGUGAAGUUAAUAGCACGCGCCUCCCAAACCUCAAAAUUUUUCCACAAAAAUCCUCCCCCUUUCCACUAUCUUUCAACCUCUAUUUAUAGGGGAAUUUUGGAUGAAAAAAUUUAGGGUUUCAAAUUUGAAAAGUUGGAUUUCAAAUCCGAAUUUCUUGUAUCCAUUGGUUUCUUAUCAAAAAUAGAUGAACAUAAUCUGAGAAAGGAAAAAGUUAAUGAAAUUCUUAGCCAUUCUUGGCUAUACGGAGAGGUAAAAGGGUAAGAAAUUAGAAAUGGCUAGGUUGACUACGGUUGGUGACGAGUUGAAGCCGUUGUUCUUUGUUGAUAUUACAACAUUAAUGUUGGAGCGGUUCUCGUUGUUGUUGUUGAUAAUGUUGUCUGUUUGUUUUUUGGUAUAUUGUUAGAGUGUUGCUGAUAGGUAAAGGGGAAAGGGAAUUGGAGCUGGGUCGGGUUGGUGAGUGAAUUGGGCCGCUGGUCUGUUUUUGUUGAGGGGUAAGGAAAUUGCGUUGUUGGUGGUGGUGGGUUGUUAGAAGAGGAUAUAAGGGGUGAAGGUUGUGAGUCGUUAGGGUGGUCUAAUUAGGUCGAUUAAUUUGGGAGGAAUUUUGGGCUGGUGGGUUAAGAAAAUUGAAGGAAAGGUGUCUUUUAAGACUUAAAUAAAGGAUUGGUGACAUUGACCAAUUUAAAGGGUCAAACAUAAUUAAAAAACUUGAUUAG
rnacentral:lncRNA from 1 species